rnacentral:rRNA from 1 species
GAUGAAUGCUGGCGGCGUGCCUAAUACAUGCAAGUCGAGCGAACGGACGAGAAGCUUGCUUCUCUGAUGUUAGCGGCGGACGGGUGAGUAACACGUGGAUAACCUACCUAUAAGACUGGGAUAACUUCGGGAAACCGGAGCUAAUACCGGAUAAUAUUUUGAACCGCAUGGUUCAAAAGUGAAAGACGGUCUUGCUGUCACUUAUAGAUGUAUCCGCGCUGCAUUAGCUAGUUGGUAAGGUAACGGCUUACCAAGGCAACGAUGCAUAGCCGACCUGAGAGGGUGAUCGGCCACACUGGAACUGAGACACGGUCCAGACUCCUACGGGAGGCAGCAGUAGGGAAUCUUCCGCAAUGGGCGAAAGCCUGACGGAGCAACGCCGCGUGAGUGAUGAAGGUCUUCGGAUCGUAAAACUCUGUUAUUAGGGAAGAACAUAUGUGUAAGUAACUGUGCACAUCUUGACGGUACCUAAUCAGAAAGCCACGGCUAACUACGUG